rnacentral:rRNA from 1 species
UACAGAGGUCUCAAGCGUUGUUCGGAUUCAUUGGGCGUAAAGGGUGUGUAGGUGGCGCGCUAAGUCGGGUGUGAAAUUUCGGAGCUUAACUCCGAAACUGCAUUCGAUACUGGCGUGCUUGAGGACUGGAGAGGAGACUGGAAUUCAUGGUGUAGCAGUGAAAAUGCGUAGAGAUCAUGAGGAAGACCAGUGGCGAAGGCGGGUCUCUGGACAGUUCCUGACACUGAGACACGAAGGCCAGGGGAGCAAACGGG